rnacentral:rRNA from 1 species
UGGGGAAUAUUGGACAAUGGGCGAAAGCCUGAUCCAGCAAUGCCGCGUGAAUGAUGAAGGCCUUAGGGUUGUAAAGUUCUUUUAGUGGGGAAGAAAAUGACGGUACCCACAGAAAAAGCUCCGGCUAACUCCGUGCCAGCAGCCGCGGUAAUACGGAGGGAGCUAGCGUUUUUCGGAAUUAUUGGGCGUAAAGCGCGCGUAGGCGGUUAAUUAAGUUAAAAGUGAAAUCCCAAAGCUUAACUUUGGAAUUGCUUUUAAAACUGAUUAGCUAGAGUUCAGUAGAGGAUGAUGGAAUUCCUGGUGUAGAGGUGAAAUUCUUAGAUAUCAGGAGGAACACCGGUGGCGAAGGCGGUCAUCUGGACUGUAUCUGACGCUAAGGCGCGAAAGCGUGGGGAGCAAACAGG